GGGUCAGUAGGUUGGUCGUGCCACCGGUACGUACUGGUCUCACUGAUUCCUCCUUCCUGAAGAGCCGUAAUGCCAUUAAUUUGGUGUUGCGGGGAAACAGGACUGUUACUUUGAAAAAAUUAGAGUGUUUAAAGCAAGCUAACGCUUGAAUACAUUAGCAUGGAAUAAUGAAAUAGGACGAUCGAUCCUAUUUUGUUGGUUUCUAUGAUUGACGUA
rnacentral:rRNA from 1 species